AUUGAACGCUGGCGGCAUGCUUUACACAUGCAAGUCGAACGGUAACAGGCCGCAAGGUGCUGACGAGUGGCGAACGGGUGAGUAAUGCAUCGGAACGUGCCCAGUCGUGGGGGAUAACGCAGCGAAAGCUGUGCUAAUACCGCAUACGAUCUGUGGAUGAAAGCGGGGGACCGUAAGGCCUCGCGCGAUUGGAGCGGCAGAUGUCAGAUUAGGUAGUGGGUGGGGUAAGGGCUUACCAAGCCGACGAUCUGUAGCUGGUCUGAGAGGACGACCAGCCACACUGGGACUGAGACACGGCCCAGACUCCUACGGGAGGCAGCAGUGGGGAAUUUUGGACAAUGGGCGCAAGCCUGAUCCAGCAAUGCCGCGUGCAGGAAGAAGGCCUUCGGGCUGUAAACUGCUUUUGUACGGAGCGAAAAGGCUCUCUCUAAUACAGGGGGCUCAUGACGGUACCGUAAGAAUAAGCACCGGCUAACUACGUGCCAGCCGCCGCCGUAAAAC
rnacentral:rRNA from 1 species